GCAGCUGUAAUGGAAAAUUAGUGACUGAAGUAAAGCUGAAAGUUAUCAUUCCGACAGUUGUAAAAGCUUUCGAGGGGAAGAACGUCACUCUCCCGUGUUACGGAGACACUCGACAAGUCGUUAAAGAUGUAAAGUGGAAGAAAGAUGGACAAGAGGUUCUGCUGUACACUCCUGCAAACAGAUGGAUGACUAAACAAAACAGAUUCACGAUGUCAGUAGAAGGCUUUCUAGACGGUGAUCUCUCUCUUCACAUCAGUCCAGUUCACCUGUCUGAUACAGGAUUAUAUCAGUGUCUCAUCCACGAUGAAUCUCAGGACGGAGAACCACGAGCUGUGUUACUGAAGGUAGAAGGGCAACAACAAUUCACAACCACCAACAGUGCUAAAGUUUCAGGAUGGUUUGUACUGCUAGGAUUCUUCAUGUCUGUAGGGAUCAACAUCAUCGUCCUGAUCAUUUAAAUUACAUGAGAAAAUGCAGAGACCAGAUUUAAUCUAAAACGGCAGGAUCUUUAGCUUUCCUGUACAUCACUCUUCUGUUGUCCUGUGUGUUUCUUUUAUUCUGUGUGUUUAUUGUCCUGUUCUCAUCUCACACUGUUGUGUAUUUGCACUUUAUGCUGCAAUCUUAUGUACUAUUACGUGUUACACCAUGAUACUGGAACAUUUUUGUUCUAUCAUGUACAAGCUAUAAAGCUGUGAUGUGUGAAGGGACUCGUGGCUGGUGAGGCACUGACUCUUUUAAAGUCAGAUUUACAAAUAUAUAAAUUUAAUCGAGUAUCUUAAAUUCACCAUUCAGGUGGCUGCUUACACGUUGAUUAAUAGUUAUUUAAUGUCUCCUGUUUUAAC